GUGGUCUCUGAGCAGCCCAGCUUUUGAGAAACCGAGCGCCUCUUCGAUUGAUUCGGAGAACGAUGCCUCUUCGAUUUUUGAUAAAGCAAUCAUGCUGGAGGUCUGGCUCUCGAGAUUCGGGGAGCAGUGUCUCUUCGAUUUUUGAGAAAGUAAUCAUGUUGGGAGUCUGGCUCUCGAGAUUCGGAGGGCGGUGCCUCUUCGAUUUUGGAGCAAGCAAUCUUGUUGGGAGUGUUUUCUCGCAUGUGAGUAAAGGUUGGGCAUGUUUGCUAGUCUACCUUGCCACGAAGCACAGAGGUUGACACACAGGGACUUUCCAAAUAUCCAGCAAUGGUACUGUUCCUUUACCCUCUCUUCGAUUUUUGAGAAAGUAGUCAUGUUGGGAGUCUGGCUCU
rnacentral:lncRNA from 1 species